rnacentral:misc_RNA from 1 species
CCUUUGUAGAACUUUAAACUCCUCUCCCUAAGCAAUUCAGCACUUUCCUCCAAGGAUUGUAUCUGCUUGCGAAACAUAGGAGAGUCAUCGAGCUUAGCGAAAGUCAUUUUUGAGACACCGAUUCUUCUUCCUUACGAUAAAUUCUAACAACCAUUACAUCAAUGCUUGAUCUUGGCAGCCUGAAGCUAAUCUUAUGUCAUAACAACCUCCAGUCAUCAAUAUUAAGCAGAGAUCUUGACUUGUAGUUGUACACCGAUCUUAACGAUGCUCACAAAGGAACCGAAAAAACAGCAAGAACCAGAGAUAAAAGAGCUAGAUUGGCGGACUUCCGGAGCUCCAAACAAUUUUUUUU